rnacentral:pre_miRNA from 1 species
AAUGAGAUAACCAGGUCAAAUGGUGGUUCCAUUUCAAGUUUUCUGAGGAAUAUCCAUACUGCUUUCCAGAGUGGUUGCACCAAUUUGCAGUCCCACCAGCAAU